GGCUUUGAAGUAUAUAUUACGUUGAAUUGCAAAUUCAGAAAUGUAGCCGAAUGGCUGCCGGAGCUU
rnacentral:tRNA from 1 species